UGCAGUCGAGCGCUACCUUCGGGUGGAGCGGCGGACGGGUUAGUAACGCGUGGGAACGUACCCAGAUCUGCGGAAUAGCCUUUGGAAACGAAGAGUAAUACCGCAUACGCCCUUCGGGGGAAAGAUUUAUCGGAUUUGGAUCGGCCCGCGUAAGAUUAGAUAGUUGGUGGGGUAAUGGCCUACCAAGUCUACGAUCUUUAGCUGGUUUGAGAGGAUGAUCAGCAACACUGGGACUGAGACACGGCCCAGACUCCUACGGGAGGCAGCAGUGGGGAAUCUUAGACAAUGGGCGCAAGCCUGAUCUAGCGAUGCCGCGUGAGUGAUGAAGGCCUUAGGGUCGUAAAGCUCUUUCGCCUGUGAUGAUAAUGACAGUAGCAGGUAAAGAAACCCCGGCUAACUCCGUGCCAGCAGCCGCGGUAAUACGGAGGGGGUUAGCGUUGUUCGGAAUUACUGGGCGUAAAGCGCACGUAGGCGGAUUAAUAAGUCAGAGGUGAAAUCCCAGGGCUCAACCCUGGAACUGCCUUUGAUACUGUUAGUCUUGAGUUCGAGAGAGGUAAGUGGAAUUCCGAGUG
rnacentral:rRNA from 1 species